UAUAACUUGGUGUACGGCGCACAUAGGCCUUUGAAGCCGAAAGAUAGAGCUCACUUCUCUCAGUUAUAA
rnacentral:tRNA from 1 species